GAAUUGGACUAUCGGUAAAGGCGAUCAGGCGAAUUUACCAAACCGCCUUGUGGUGCUGUGCUUCAUGGCAUGGUACUGAGCGACAAGGUUAAAAGCAGAACUUUCAGUUGUAGGA
rfam:Microbial mat metagenome hsmat10_BHWZ7321_g1, whole genome shotgun sequence.